UACGUAGGUGGCGAGCGUUAUCCGGAUUUAUUGGGUUUAAAGGGUGCGUAGGCGGACUGUCAAGUCAGCGGUAAAAUUGAGAGGCUCAACCUCUUCCCGCCGUUGAAACUGGUGGUCUUGAGUGGAUGAGAAGUACGCGGAAUGCGUGGUGUAGCGGUGAAAUGCAUAGAUAUCACGCAGAACUCCGAUUGCGAAGGCAGCGUACCGGCAUCCAACUGACGCUGAGGCACGAAAGCGUGGGGAUCGAACAGG
rnacentral:rRNA from 1 species